CGAGAGGUGGUGCAUGGCCGUCGUCAGUUCGUACCGUAAGGCGUUCUGUUAAGUCAGAUAACGAACGAGACCCUCGUCCUUAAUUGCCAACCCAUUCUCCGGAGUGGGCGCACAUUAAGGGGACCGCUGGCGCUAAGUCAGAGGAAGGAGAGGUCAACGGUAGGUCAGUAUGCCCCGAAUCUCCCGGGCUACACGCGCGCUACAAAGGACAGGACAAUGGGAUGCAAUACCGAGAGGUAACGCCAACCCGAAACCCGUUCGUAGUUCGGACUGAGGGCUGUAACUCGCCCUCACGAAGCUGGAUUCCGUAGUAAUCGCGGGUCAACAUCCCGCGGUGAAUAUGCCCCUGCUCUUU
rnacentral:rRNA from 1 species